rnacentral:lncRNA from 1 species
AUGGCAGAGCAGCCCCAGCGCUGGUCUCUCCGCCGCCGCGAGCCCUCCGCGCGGGCUGUGGCCCGGCCCCCGGGGCUGAGCGAGCCGCCGCGCCGCGCCCGAGGAGAGCCGGGCCCCGCGGCGGAGCGGAGCGGCGCUGGCGCAGCCGAGUCGGGGCCGCCGCUAUUUAGGGCGGGUGCGGCCGGAGCCGCCACAGCCCGGCGAGGAACGGCGGGAUCGCAGGAACCUCUGAAUGUGUGGACGAAGGGCCUGAGCAAAUGGUCCCACCCUGUGCAGCGUUCAGCACUUUUGGAGGUGGAUGGACAAGGGAUGCAGUCGUCACAGCUCAUGGCUCUGGUAAAGGAGAGAGGCAGUUGCAGAGGGCAGCCCUGGUCUACCUACCGCCAUGGAAACUCAUUUGUCUCUAUUCAGGAUUUUCCCUUAGCUGAAUAAAAGGUUUUCUCCUGUGUGGGAUGUGUGAUCAGCCCGGUGUUCAGGUAAAGAGAUUUCUUAGGCUCUAAAAGUGACAGCUCUGAAAUAGCUCUGAGCUAUUGAGUCAAAGGGAUGGUAAUAGGGAGACAAAAAAAAAAAAUUGAGAAGAUAAAGGAAAUUAGCACAGAGAAAACAGGUUGGCAUUUAGUGUUCCUGUCUGCUGAAGAGAAUUCAGGGUAAGUUUACAAGUGGAACCUUUAUUUCUGGCCAAAAUGAAUAACAAAUCUUCACGGUCAGAUAGCCAAAGAGCACGAUGCGACUCAGGAUCUGAGGUACAAGAGGAUCAAGAGGGGUGUUCAACCUCUAUUUAAAAUACUUCAGACUGCCUUUACACCCACCAACUGUAAGACAGCUGCUGUGGAAUAGUUUCCAAAGAGACCUGAUGGGUGACUGCGUAUUCAUAAACCUGAGGUCUGUACUUGGCUGGUUUGCAGAAAAUAUCAUCAACAAUACUAUUACUGUACACCCAGUAAAUACUGUCUUUGGGGGAACAGUCAGAAUAGCUUUUGUGAAGGUAAGUUUUUUGCCUCACAAAACCAUUGAAUGAAGUCACGGAGUGUAUGGAUUGGUUGAAGUCCAAUUGAUACAAUUACUGGGAUUUCUCAAGAGACUUUGGAUAAGGUUCUUUGCCAGAGAGUCUUAAAGAAGGUAAAUAAGGAAAGCUCAGACUACCAGUGAUCUGGAAGGUGUGAGUACUGAGGUGAGACAAAGCUUUUCAGGUAUUAAAGGCAAGGACUGACUAUGCAGAGCUGCAAAGAAUGUUAGGUAAAACGUGGAGAAGGAUUUCAGUACAGGGAGACGCAAAAAGUGAGCAGACAGGAAAAAAAAAUGCUGAUGUUACCACUCAUUCCUUUGCAAUUAUAGUAAUUGGGACUGUUUAGUGGAAAUGUCAGAUCAUUGGUGUGUGAUGAUGAAACAGGCAGAUCUCAGGAACUGCUAGGAAAGAAAUUGAGAAGAGAACAGGAAAGAUCAUUAUGCUGCAUGUUCGUCUGUGCUGUACCCACAUCUUCAACACUGUUUGUGGUUCAGGUUCCUGUGUCUCAAAAAGAACAUAUCCAAGUUGGGACAGUGUCAGAAAAGGGUCACAGGGUUGAGCUGAGUGCAUGGGCUGCUGUUGGAGUCAGAUAACUGGAUUUCUUGGACUUUGUUUGCUACGUCCGUUCUUAUGUUCAGAGAAUAAUAUCCCUCACUUCACAAUCAUGCCUCAUUCUUGUACGUACUGCUGAAAGACGAUGACAUUUGUGAACAACUGUUUUUAAAGAUGAAGCACAGGAAGAGUAAAAUUUCAUUAAAAAAAAAUCUCUGACAGCACCCUGAGAGCUGCAGCCACUGCCAUCAAACCAGGCACUGAUGCAUUGGUUUCACAGCCACGAGGUCACACAUCCCACUGGUUUUAUGGUCCUGUUGCUCUCUUUCUUUCUAAAGUUUUAAUAAAAAUAAUACCAGUUAAAAUAAGUUUUGUUAA